UAUCUCUGUAGAGUCUGCAUAUCAAUAAGCGGAGGAAAAGAAACUAACUAGGAUUCCCUCAGUAACGGCGAGUGAAGCGGGAAGAGCUCAAAUUUGAAAUCUUCAAGGUUCUACCUUGACGAAUUGUAGUUUAAAGAAGUGUUUUCUGUUGGAGUUUUGGUAAAAGUUCUUUGGAAUAGGACAUCAUAGAGGGUGAGAAUCCCGUAUUUGACCAUUAUUUCCAGCUUUGUGAUACACUUUCAAAGAGUCGGAUUGUUUGGGAAUGCAGUCCAAAAUGGGUGGUAAAUUUCAUCUAAAGCUAAAUACUUGGCGAGAGACCGAUAGCGAACAAGUACCGUGAGGGAAAGAUGAAAAGAACUUUGAAAAGAGAGUUAAACAGUACGUGAAAUUGUCAAAAGGGAAGCGUUUGACACCAGUGUUGUUUUCUCGAAAAUCAAUUAAAAAAGGCAGGAUUUUGUGUUGUAUUGACUUUAUCAGCUUUCUGCACUCUUUUCUUGUCUUUUUUUAAUGCACUUUUCGUUUAACAAGUCAACAUCAAUUUCUUUUGUUGUAAAAGGGUCAUUGGAAGGUGGCUUUCUUUUCGGAGAAAGUGUUUAUAGCCUUUGGCCUCUGCAAUCGGAGAGAUUGAGGUCUGCAGCGUAGAUCCUUCUGGAUUAGAUACAUUUGUGCUAAGUUAUAGCCUUUCAUAGACAACUUGUUGACUAUGAUCAGUCAUGUAGCUUACUCGCUUAUGCUAUUUUACCUAGCGCUUAGGAUGUUGAUAGUCACAGCGUGUAC
rnacentral:rRNA from 1 species